AGCAGCCGCGGUAAUUCCAGCUCCAAUAGCGUAUAUUAAAGUUGUUGCAGUUAAAAAGCUCGUAGUUGAAUUUCGGGAUCAGUACGCUGGUCGUGCCUUUGGUAUGUACUGGUGUCACUGAUUCCUCCCUUCUGAAGAACCGUUAUGCCAUUUAUUUGGUGUGGCGGGAAUCAGGACUGUUACUUUGAAAAAAUUAGAGUGUUUAAAGCAGGCUCACGCUUGAAUACAUUAGCAUGGAAUAAUGAAAUAGGACGUUUGAUCUUAUUUUGUUGGUUUCUAGGAUCGACGUAAUGAUUAAUAGGGAUAGUUGGGGGCAUUAGUAUUCAAUUGUCAGAGGUGAAAUUCUUGGAUUUAUUGAAGACUAACUACUGCGAAAGCAUUUGCCAAGGAUGUUUUCAUUAAUCAAGAACGAAAGUUAGGGGAUCGAAGACGAUCAGAUACCGUCGUAGU
rnacentral:rRNA from 1 species